AACGAACGCUGGCGGCAUGCCUAACACAUGCAAGUCGAACGAGACCUUCGGGUCUAGUGGCGCACGGGUGCGUAACGCGUGGGAAUCUGCCCUUGGGUUCGGAAUAACAGUUGGAAACGACUGCUAAUACCGGAUGAUGACGUAAGUCCAAAGAUUUAUCGCCCAAGGAUGAGCCCGCGUAGGAUUAGCUAGUUGGUGAGGUAAAGGCUCACCAAGGCGACGAUCCUUAGCUGGUCUGAGAGGAUGAUCAGCCACACUGGGACUGAGACACGGCCCAGACUCCUACGGGAGGCAGCAGUGGGGAAUAUUGGACAAUGGGCGAAAGCCUGAUCCAGCAAUGUCGCGUGAGUGAUGAAGGCCUUAGGGUUGUAAAGCUCUUUUACCCGGGAUGAUAAUGACAGUACCGGGAGAAUAAGCUCCGGCUAACUCCGUG
rnacentral:rRNA from 1 species